AUUGAACGCUGGCGGCAGGCCUAACACAUGCAAGUCGAGCGGGGUUUUCGGACCUAGCGGCGGUCGGGUGAGUAAUGCGUAGGAAGCUGCCCGAUAGAGGGGGAUACCAGUUGGAAACGACUGUUAAUACCGCAUAAUGUCUACGGACCAAAGUGUGGGACCUUCGGGCCACAUGCUAUCGGAUGCGCCUACGUGGGAUUAGCUAGUUGGUGAGGUAAUGGCUCACCAAGGCGACGAUCUCUAGCCGGUUUGAGAGGAUGAUCAGCCAAACUGGAAGUGAGACCCGGGCCGGACUCUGACGGGAGGCAGCGGUGGGGAAUAUUGGACAAUGGGCGCAAGCCUGAUCCAGCCAUGCCGCGUGUGUGAAGAAGGACUUCGGGUUGUAAAGCACUUUCAGCGAGGAGGAAGGGUGGUGUGUUAAUAGCACAUCAUUUUGACGUUACUCGCAGAAGAAGCACCGGCUAACUCUGUGCCAGCCGCCGCGGUAACAC
rnacentral:rRNA from 1 species